UCACAACAACGCAGAAGGCAGGCUAUACGAAUCAACUCAGACUUGGCCAAUUGCUUACUUACAAAUUGGUGGCCAAGAGAACGGAGGAGACGAUGACGACGAUGACUGUGACGUUGCACCGGCGGCUUGAUCAUUUGCAUAUUA
rnacentral:sRNA from 1 species